GAGCGACGCCUGCACCGCUUCGGCCGCAGAGAAAGCGAGCAGCGAGCCCUCCUUGGCCAAGAAGGCUUUGCCGUCUUCCGCAUCCGCUUGGAGCGCCUCGGCUUUGUCGAAGUUGCCGCCUCCGGGCAGUGGCUGUGGAGCGAACUUGCGGGCAGCCGCCGCCUCUUGGUGCUGGGGCGACGCAGAGAAGCCGCCGGGCAGAGUGGCCAUGAGCGUGGAGCGGGCGCUGCAUCAUCAUCAGCGACGGCGGGAACGCUGCGCUCAUAGACGCGUUCGGGAGAAGCCAGGGAGAGACGAAAAGUCCCCGUGUCCCGCCGCCGCCUGGAAGCCCUCCGGACGCUGGGAGUACCACCGGGAACUCCGGGCAGGGGCUGAGCGGUGCCCAGAGCGCAGACGCCGCCGCCGCCCCUCAGUGCAGGACCCGCAGCAUACCCGGCCUGCACGGGUGCAGCCACCGAGCGCGAUGAGGCCGUGCGCCCGGGAUGGAGAGGGCGCCGGGGACCUCGCGUUCGCCGGAACCGCUCCCGGCUGCUAGCCCGUCGGAACGCGCGCGCUUCGCGUCUGCAGGUCUCGGCCCAGCUACCAGCAGUGCGUGCGUCCGUCCGUCUGUCCGUCCUGCAGUCCGUCGUCUCCCACGGGCGGCUGGGGAGCGCGCGAAGCCGGCGCACUUGUCUCUGGCGGGCGCCGCCAGCACCUUUAAAUCGCGCUCCUCUUUCUCAUUCACAUUUUGCCAGCUGCCCAGCGGAGCUCGUGUCACGUGGGACCGAGCACCAACUCCUAUUUGCUAUUCAGGGGAAGGCGGGGCGAAAUUAGGGCUCCGCCCCCUUCACCCAGGCGGGCCGCAAAUGGGCUACCGGCGCCACGGUUGGAGCGUGCUGGCCUGGGAGCUGGAGCCUUUGCACCGCGCGGAGCAAACUUAAGAGGGACCCUUGCUACCUACCCGACUCAGACCCUAGAGUCCCUGGCAUCCCUGUGGAGGCCUCAUGAGAGGCGGCUUGGAACUGGCACCCGCCACCGAUGGGCCGGGAGUGUUUUACUACAGCAGAACCCUGUGUGAUGCUCACCUUAACCAGGGGCGCUCUGGUUGUGCCAAGGGUCCGGGCAAGGUCUCCGGAUAGCGUUUAAGGUCUUGCCUCUGCAGGUCUGCUCCCAGAGGUGCGCCUGGGCCUGUCAGCCCUUGCUCACACGACACGGAAGCUGAAUGGUUGCUUGCGGCCCGCUGGUGGCAGCGGGGCGGCCGGCGGUGGUCUCCCUCAUUCCUGGUUGGGCCCUCCGUGAGCGAUCCCUGCUCAUUUUUCAUGACAUUCUUAAUCAUCGCACCUAUUUACCCACUUUGCCAGCGUACACCAAAAUAACAGCCACGAUAAUUAUG
ensembl:processed_transcript D130058E05Rik RIKEN cDNA D130058E05 gene